rfam:Citrus sinensis cultivar Ridge Pineapple sweet orange scaffold00010_contig_131, whole genome shotgun sequence.
GAAAAAAACAUCAUUGAGUGCAGCGUUGAUGAAUAUUUGUCGGUGCUUUGCCAAUAUUUCUCUAUACUAGCCAGGAUUCUUUCACCAGCGCUGCACUCGAUCAUGUUUUUU